AUUGCAUUCAGAGCGAGCUGU
rnacentral:miRNA from 1 species